rnacentral:lncRNA from 1 species
UUUUUUUUUUUUUGUAUAACCGAGAAAUCCGUCUGUGACCCGCCCUUUGGACCAAUCACAGCCUUCUUAAAAGUGAAUGUGACAAGAUAUGAAGAAAAAUAUGAAUAAGAACAUAUUCAUGUAUGGUUGAAAAUAUGCCACAACUCACCUCUACGGGAGGUUUGAGAGAAACAAAUAAAUUUUUAGUUGGCAGAAAUGGUCAUUGAUCGUGUACGUUUAUAUGUCAUAAAUAUUAUGGUAUGUUUAUUAUGAACUACCAAAAGGGCAAAAAGAAAGAAGUAAUUCUUGCCUAUAAAUGUUGUGGCCAUGACCAAAAUAAUAUUAUUGUGUGGAAAUAGAAAUUUGUCAUUGAUUGUGUACCUAUGGUACGACAAAAGUAAAGCAAGAAACAUGUCUUGCUUGUAAUAAUCUAACCAUGACAAUAAUAAUAUAAUUUUCGGAUGGUGUCAUGGAAUAUGUGAUAGUACACAAAAUUAAUUGCAAGCUCUAACAAGUUGUGUUAUUACCAGAGGAAUAAUGGGGUUGUAGUAAGUCUCAAAAGAAACUUUUUAAGUUUUGGAUGAAUUGAAAAGAAACAUUGAGACUAUAAAUUAUGAAAAGAUUUAAUAUCUUUAGAUUACUACAACCGAAGCAGGUUAUAAAUAUUUAUGUAAAAGAUUACCCUUUUUUUUCCUCUUGUUUGUUGGACACAAACAUGGGCAUGCUGAUGAAAUCACAUGCAAAAGUAAACUAUAAGUGUACUGAAAUAAAGAUCAGUUAGCAUGACCGGUUGACCAUUCUGAUUUAAAUGUGAUGCAAAUGUAAUUGAAAUUCAUGUGGCUUAUAUGAUGAAGAAAUAAAAGAUUCUUCAAGAAUUCUCUUGUGUUGCUUGUUCUCUUGAUAAAAUGAUCAUUGCACCAGCUAAGGUUGGGAUUGUAAUCCCCUGAAUUGUUUUGGAACAUAUAAAAAGGUGAAUGGAAUCACAUGCAAAAGUAAACUAUAAAUGUACUGAAAUAAAGAUCGGUUGGCAUGACCGGUUGACCAUUCUGAUUUAAAUGUGAUGCAAAUGUAAUUGAAAUUCAUGUGGCUUAUAUGAUGAAGAAUAAAAGAUUCUUCAAGAAUUCUCUUGUGUUGCUUGUUCUCUUGAUAAAAUGAUCAUUGCACCAGCUAAGGUUGGGAUUGUAAUCCCCUGAAUUAUUUUGGAACAUAUAAAAAGGUGAAUAUGGGCCCGUUCACCUGUCAUGUGGACCGUUUGCACUAUAUGAUAGAUACAUCUAUGGGAUGGUCACAUGUGUUUUGUUGUCAACUUACAAAUUGAUUUUUGUAAGGUUGUUUGCUCGAAUUGUUAAAUUAAGAGCACAGUUCCAAACUAUGAAAUUAUAUUGAUAAUGUUGGUUGAUUUAGCAGAAAUUGUAUGCCUCCAAUUAUAGCUAAACCAUGGGUAUGAGAACAAAACUCCCAAAUAAGAUUUGGUAUGAGAUAGUUUUAUUUAACAUGUAGCAACACAUGUAUGCAUCAAGCCAACAAGGUUUCCCCAUCAUAGUUGGUUCAGGGUCAGAAACCAAAUAAUUUUCAUCUAAAAUGUUGAAUGUACGGUUAUGAUUAAUUGCUCCACCACGCACAAAGAUGAAUUCCCAAAUAAGGUUGGGAUGAAUGUUAGAUUUUCUAACAUUAGGGGGAGAGAUGAUUGAUAGCUGAAAAUUAUGUGUGAGGUUAAUUAUGAAUUAUCAAGAUCCUCGUUAAAAGAAAAUGUGAACUUGAAGUUCAACUGAUAAUUCAUUUGCAUAAUGUUGUAAAUCAAUUGCCAGAUGAAUUUACUGAAUCUAUGAUAUAAUUCAGCUGCAAAUGCUUCAAUGAGAAGUUCUUGAAGGACAGAGUCUAACGUCUGAAGCGUAAUAGACCAAUCUGUUCCAAAUAUAAAAUUCCUUGAAGAAGGAGAGGAGCAAAUGAUUAAUAUGGUCAUGAUAAUGAGGCAAAUGCUAUAAAAGAGCACCACGACAUAACACUUCAGAAAACCUUGGAAAAGGUUCAGGUACCUGAAAAAUGAUGAAGAAUGAAGAGAUCUAGAUAAGUUCUGUCAUAUUGGAAUCGAUAUCAAAUAGCCAUCGACGGUAUCUUUGAUAUGAAGUAGCGCUCAGUGAUAUAAAUUGUGACGAGGAUUUUAAAUUCAAAUAUGUCAUAUAUUGUUGUGGACAGAUAAAUGAUUGGCUAAAAUGCAUAAUUCAAGUAUAUUUUGUUUCACUUAGAAAAGUGACGUUUUGGACUGAUAGUCCAUAAAUCAAGGUAUUAUGUCAGUGGGGUACAAAUAAAUUAUUAUGCGAUGGUAUAACCGUAAAAUAUCAAGUAUGACUUGUGCCUUGGGGGAUAAAGGUUUGUCGCAAUAAUCCUGACAUUAUUGGAGAUGUUUUCCCCUAUGGUGGAUGCAAUGAGAUUUAGUUUGAUCUGGCAAUACACUACUAAAAAAACAGUGAAUACCGACCUCCGGAGGUCGGUAUUCCCUGAAAUACUGAUCAAAUACCAACUUCCCAGCUUAGGUUGAAAAAAGCUUGGUCGCUAUUCAAUACCGACCUCUGGAGGUCGAUAUUUACUGACCUGUCGAGGUGAAUUUUUAUUUUAAGUCGGAAAAUUCAUUACUUUAUUUUCCAACUUCCUGAGGUCACUUUUAUAUAUUUGUUUUUUUUUAUUAUUAUUAUUUUCAACUUUCUGAGGUCAGAAUAUUUAUUUCUCUUGUUUUGGAAUACCGACAUCCAGAUGUUGGUAUUUGUUAAUUGUUUGAUUUUUAAUUUAAAUAUUUUCAACCUCUAGAAGUCGGUAUAUUUUUAUUUUAUUUUUUCUUGAUUUUUAAAUUCCAACCUCUGGAGGUCAAUAUUUUUUAAUUUUUAUUUUAUUUAUUUUGGACAUUCUGACCUCCAGAGGUCGAUAUUUUUAUUUUUUAUUUUUGAAAUUCUAACCUCCUGAGGUCGAUAUUCUUAUUUUUUAUUUUUGAAAUUCUAACUUCCGAAAAGUCGGUAUUAUCAUCUUUUAUUUUUGAGAUUCUAACCUCCGGAGGUCUGUAUUUUUAUUUUUGAAAUUCUAACCUCCGUAGGUCUUCAUUUUUAUUUUUUAUUUUGAGAUUCUGACCUCCGGAGGUCAAUUUUGUGCUACAAAACUGGCAACAAAUUGUUACAAUUUUAGUUGCCCACCUGCAUAUUUAUACCAAAACAACCCAAAGAGCUGCCAACACAAUAUUUACAUAUACAUUAAACUACUUCAAAAUAAACUUCAUCCAACUUCAAAAUAAAAUUCAAUCAACUUCAAAAUAAACUAAAAUACGAUCAAACAAUUCCAAAAAUAUAGAAGUCUAAAAUGUAAAAUAGGUAUAACUACUCCUCAUCACCCUCACUCUUCUUAUUAGACUUAUCAUUGUCAUCACCCUUCUGAUCAGAUCCAUCAUUGUUGGCAGCCGAACAUGGAGGAAGAUUUUUUCCUGAUUCAAAAAGAAGAGUUAGUUGGGCCUGAGAAAUAUUGUUGUCAGAUUUGAUACUUAAGCAAUCCAACUGCAACACAAUUUAGAGUGUUGACCCUC